rnacentral:rRNA from 1 species
UACGUAGGGUGCAAGCGUUGUCCGGAAUUAUUGGGCGUAAAGAGCUCGUAGGCGGUGUGUCGCGUCUGCCGUGAAAACCUGCGGCUUAACCGUGGGCGUGCGGUGGAUACGGGCACACUUGAGUUCGGUAGGGGAGACUGGAAUUCCUGGUGUAGCGGUGGAAUGCGCAGAUAUCAGGAGGAACACCAGUGGCGAAGGCGGGUCUCUGGGCCGAAACUGACGCUGAGGAGCGAAAGCGUGGGGAGCAAACAGGAUUAGAUACCCUGGUAGU